UACGUAGGGGGCUAGCGUUGUCCGGAAUUACUGGGCGUAAAGCGUGCGCAGGCGGUGGCUCAAGCCAGGCGUGAAAUCCCCGGGCUUAACCUGGGAAUGGCGUUUGGGACUGGGUCGCUAGAGUGUGGCAGAGGGCAGUGGAAUUCCGGGUGUAGUGGUGGAAUGCGUAGAGAUCCGGAGGAACACCAGUGGCGAAGGCGGCUGCCUGGGCCUGGCCUGACGCUGAGGCGCGAAAGCGUGGGGAGCAAACGGG
rnacentral:rRNA from 1 species